UCCCGUUUAGCUCAGUUGGUAGAGCGCGUCACUAGUAAUUUACGGAAUAAUUACAUGACGAGGUCAGUCGUUCGAGUCGGCUAAUGGGAA
rnacentral:tRNA from 1 species